CACGCUAAAACACCGGUUCUCGUCCGAUCACAGAAGUUAAGCAACGUCAAGCCCAGUCAGUACCUAAAUGGGUGACCACUUUGGAAUUACAGGUUCUGUAAG